AGCUAUUUACAAUCAUGGCAUAACUACCUAGGCACUCAGCAUCUCGAUGAAAACUGUUGGAAAAGAAAAACUUUCAGAGUCAUUCUGCCCUCAGAGUAGUCAAGCCAACUAAACUGUGAGAAGUCAAUGCCUUGCCUUUGUGCAUCCCAUUACUAAUGGAGGAUAAGAAGUUAUUUUCUUCAAAGGCUGACUUCCAGAAUUUUUGGCUGAACACUUUUUGUCAAGUGUAUAUUCCCUUUGUAGGCCUUUCUGUAUAGAGCCCACAAACAUCGUGAAUGUGAAUCAUGUCAUUCAGAGGGUUAGUGACCAUGCCUCUGCCAUGAACAAGAGAAUUCAUUACUACAGCCGGCUCACCACUCCUGCAGACAAGGCACUGAUUGCCCCAGACCAUGUAGUUCCAGCUCCAGAAGAGUGCUAUGUGUAUAGUCCAUUGGGCUCUGCUUAUAAACUUCAAAGUUACACUGAAGGAUACGGUAAAAACACCAGUUUAGUAACCAUUUUUAUGAUUUGGAAUACCAUGAUGGGAACAUCUAUACUAAGCAUUCCUUGGGGCAUAAAACAGGCUGGAUUUACUACUGGAAUGUGUGUCAUCAUACUGAUGGGCCUUUUAACACUUUAUUGCUGC
rnacentral:lncRNA from 1 species